UCUAAUAUGGCAGAUUAGUGCAUUGGAUUUAAACCCCAAUUAUAAAGUUUAAACUUUUUUUAGAAAA
rnacentral:tRNA from 1 species